UACGUAGGGGGCAAGCGUUGUCCGGAUUUAUUGGGCGUAAAGAGCGUGUAGGCGGCUUUGCAAGUCCGUUGUGAAAACUCGAGCUCAACCUCGAGACGCCGGUGGAAACUGCAAAGCUAGAGUCCGGAAGAGGAGAGUGGAAUUCCUGGUGUAGCGGUGAAAUGCGCAGAUAUCAGGAAGAACACCCGUGGCGAAGGCGGCUCUCUGGGACGGUACUGACGCUGAGACGCGAAAGCGUGGGGAGCGAACAGG
rnacentral:rRNA from 1 species